rnacentral:rRNA from 1 species
UUAAGUGACUAAGCGUACACGGUGGAUGCCCUGGCAGUCAGAGGCGAUGAAGGACGUGCUAAUCUGCGAAAAGCGUCGGUAAGGUGAUAUGAACCGUUAUAACCGGCGAUGUCCGAAUGGGGAAACCCAGUGCAAUUCGUUGCACUAUCGUUAACUGAAUACAUAGGUUAACGAGGCGAACCGGGGGAACUGAAACAUCUAAGUACCCCGAGGAAAAGAAAUCAACCGAGAUUCCCCCAGUAGCGGCGAGCGAACGGGGAGCAGCCCAGAGUCUGAAUCAGCUUGUGUGUUAGUGGAACGGUCUGGAAAGUCCGACGGUACAGGGUGAUAGUCCCGUACACCAAAAUGCACAGGCUGUGAACUCGAAGAGUAGGGCGGGACACGUGGUAUCCUGUCUGAAUAUGGGGGGACCAUCCUCCAAGGCUAAAUACUCCUGACUGACCGAUAGUGAACCAGUACCGUGAGGGAAAGGCGAAAAGAACCCCGGCGAGGGGAGUGAAAAAGAACCUGAAACCGUGUACGUACAAGCAGUGGGAGCACCUUCGGGUGUGACUGCGUACCUUUUGUAUAAUGGGUCAGCGACUUAUAUUCUGUAGCAAGGUUAACCGUAUAGGGGAGCCGCAGGGAAACCGAGUCUUAACUGGGCGUUAAGUUGCAGGGUAUAGACCCGAAACCCGGUGAUCUAGCCAUGGGCAGGUUGAAGGUUGGGUAACACUAACUGGAGGACCGAACCGACUAAUGUUGAAAAAUUAGCGGAUGACUUGUGGCUGGGGGUGAAAGGCCAAUCAAACCGGGAGAUAGCUGGUUCUCCCCGAAAGCUAUUUAGGUAGCGCCUCGUGAAUUCAUCUUCGGGGGUAGAGCACUGUUUCGGCUAGGGGGUCAUCCCGACUUACCAACCCGAUGCAAACUACGAAUACCGAAGAAUGUUAUCACGGGAGACACACGGCGGGUGCUAACGUCCGUCGUGAAGAGGGAAACAACCCAGACCGCCAGCUAAGGUCCCAAAGUCAUGGUUAAGUGGGAAACGAUGUGGGAAGGCACAGACAGCCAGGAUGUUGGCUUAGAAGCAGCCAUCAUUUAAAGAAAGCGUAAUAGCUCACUGGUCGAGUCGGCCUGCGCGGAAGAUGUAACGGGGCUAAACCAUGCACCGAAGCUGCGGCAGCGACACUAUGUGUUGUUGGGUAGGGGAGCGUUCUGUAAGCCUGCGAAGGUGUGCUGUGAGGCAUGCUGGAGGUAUCAGAAGUGCGAAUGCUGACAUAAGUAACGAUAAAGCGGGUGAAAAGCCCGCUCGCCGGAAGACCAAGGGUUCCUGUCCAACGUUAAUCGGGGCAGGGUGAGUCGACCCCUAAGGCGAGGCCGAAAGGCGUAGUCGAUGGGAAACAGGUUAAUAUUCCUGUACUUGGUGUUACUGCGAAGGGGGGACGGAGAAGGCUAUGUUAGCCGGGCGACGGUUGUCCCGGUUUAAGCAUGUAGGCUGGUUGUCCAGGCAAAUCCGGAUAAUCAAGGCUGAGGUGUGAUGACGAGGCACUACGGUGCUGAAGUAACAAAUGCCCUGCUUCCAGGAAAAGCCUCUAAGCAUCAGGUAACAUCAAAUCGUACCCCAAACCGACACAGGUGGUCAGGUAGAGAAUACCAAGGCGCUUGAGAGAACUCGGGUGAAGGAACUAGGCAAAAUGGUGCCGUAACUUCGGGAGAAGGCACGCUGGUGUGUAGGUGAAGCCCCUGCGGGUGGAGCUGAGACCAGUCGAAGAUACCAGCUGGCUGCAACUGUUUAUUAAAAACACAGCACUGUGCAAACACGAAAGUGGACGUAUACGGUGUGACGCCUGCCCGGUGCCGGAAGGUUAAUUGAUGGGGUUAUCCGUAAGGAGAAGCUCUUGAUCGAAGCCCCGGUAAACGGCGGCCGUAACUAUAACGGUCCUAAGGUAGCGAAAUUCCUUGUCGGGUAAGUUCCGACCUGCACGAAUGGCGUAAUGAUGGCCAGGCUGUCUCCACCCGAGACUCAGUGAAAUUGAACUCGCUGUGAAGAUGCAGUGUACCCGCGGCAAGACGGAAAGACCCCGUGAACCUUUACUAUAGCUUGACACUGAACAUUGAGCCUUGAUGUGUAGGAUAGGUGGGAGGCUUUGAAGCGUGGACGCCAGUCUGCGUGGAGCCAACCUUGAAAUACCACCCUUUAAUGUUUGAUGUUCUAACGUUGGCCCCUGACCGGGGUUGCGGACAGUGUCUGGUGGGUAGUUUGACUGGGGCGGUCUCCUCCCAAAGCGUAACGGAGGAGCACGAAGGUUAGCUAAUCCUGGUCGGACAUCAGGAGGUUAGUGCAAUGGCAUAAGCUAGCUUGACUGCGAGCGUGACGGCGCGAGCAGGUGCGAAAGCAGGUCAUAGUGAUCCGGUGGUUCUGAAUGGAAGGGCCAUCGCUCAACGGAUAAAAGGUACUCCGGGGAUAACAGGCUGAUACCGCCCAAGAGUUCAUAUCGACGGCGGUGUUUGGCACCUCGAUGUCGGCUCAUCACAUCCUGGGGCUGAAGUAGGUCCCAAGGGUAUGGCUGUUCGCCAUUUAAAGUGGUACGCGAGCUGGGUUUAGAACGUCGUGAGACAGUUCGGUCCCUAUCUGCCGUGGGCGCUGGAGAAUUGAGGGGGGCUGCUCCUAGUACGAGAGGACCGGAGUGGACGCAUCACUGGUGUUCGGGUUGUCAUGCCAAUGGCACUGCCCGGUAGCUAAAUGCGGAAGAGAUAAGUGCUGAAAGCAUCUAAGCACGAAACUUGCCCCGAGAUGAGUUCUCCCUGAGACUUUAAGUCUCCUGAAGGAACGUUGAAGACGACGACGUUGAUAGGCCGGGUGUGUAAGCGCAGCGAUGCGUUGAGCUAACCGGUACUAAUGAACCGUGAGGCUUAACCUU